UGUUUUCAGCUGCUUAUACAUUUGUCACAUGUAUUAUUUGGGCUGAAAAUGUACACACUGGAGACUGCAUCUGGCUGAAUUUUUGUAUCUAAAGUUUCAGAAAAAUUGGCUGCUGAGAACAAGUUUGAUUUGGAGGUGGAACCAACGUGUUGAAACGUUUCCAGAUUCUAGGCCUUGCAAAAACUCUAGCCUGCAUGCAAGAACUCAAGAACUGUCAGAACAUAGAAGGAAGGUGGUGGAAAUCUACUUAGAUCUACUUUGGAGAUCUAAGUCAAGAUACUUAAUAGCUACUUUUUUCCAGGGUAUCAUUAUAUGAUCUCUUUAUGUCUCUGCUCUUCACCUGUGAAAAUGACCGGAAGCUCAUCCCAUUCAGAAGCUGUAUGGGCUUUGUCAAGAUUCAUUUCUUGUUUGCAAAGCACUGAAGUAGUACAAGGAUGGCAUGACAGAAAAAUUAACAGACAGAUUCAUAAUUCUGUCUUCAUAGCAAGUCUUCAGUACAGGUACCUGCAAAUCCAGAUUAUCAUCACAAUACAGUAUACCAGCAGUUUAUAUCAUACUUAACCAGUAGGAAUUAUUUUGCAAACAAGUCUCUCUCCUUUGUCCACGCAUUGUCUGGAGGAGCAUUUGGUGUGUAUACCCCCUUCCACUAAGACCGCCUGACCCAAGAGGACUCUGAUAUUGCCCUGCCAACAUGGAACAGUUCUAUUCCUUUCCUUCGUAUGUCUCUGUUCACAGUGUUAGCCAACUUAAUAGUUGUUUGUGUGUAUAUGAAUGACAUGGCACAUCACAGGUUCCAGUGUUAGGCCUAUGCAAAACUAUGACAGUGCCUUGUAGGUAAGUCAAAUAUUUCCUGCCCCUUCUGUAUUCCCAUGAACAUAACGAGGAAAACAUCUUAUUUAAUUCCUAUCAACAUCUGUGCUCCUUUUAGUAGUAAGGGAGGCUUAGGAUUUCUGUUAGUCUGAAAA